UACGAAGGGGGCGAGCGUUGUUCGGAAUUACUGGGCGUAAAGGGCGCGUAGGCGGCCGAUCAAGUUAGAUGUGAAAGUCCUGGGCUUAACCUGGGGACUGCAUUUGAUACUGAUUGGCUUGAAUUCGGGAGAGGAUAGCGGAAUUCCCAGUGUAGAGGUGAAAUUCGUAGAUAUUGGGAAGAACACCGGUGGCGAAGGCGGCUAUCUGGACCGACAUUGACGCGUGAGG
rnacentral:rRNA from 1 species